rnacentral:rRNA from 1 species
AUUCCAGCUCCAAUAGCGUAUAUUAAAGUUGUUGCAGUUAAAAAGCUCGUAGUUGGACUUCUGGGCCUGUGUUGUGGUCCGCCUCACGGUGAGCACUGCGACAUGGGUCCUUCUUCUUGAAGACUGUGCGUGUCCUUAACUAGGUGUGUACAGGAUUUGAGACCUUUACUUUGAAAAAAUUAGAGUGUUCAAAGCAGGCCUUCGCUUGAAUACAUUAGCAUGGAAUAAUGGAAUAGGACUUCUGUUCUAUUUUGUUGGUUUCUAGGACUGAAGUAAUGAUUAAUAGGGAUAGUUGGGGGCAUUAGUAUUUAAUUGUCAGAGGUGAAAUUCCUGGAUUUAUGAAAGACUAACUUCUGCGAAAGCAUUUGCCAAGGAUGUUUUCAUUG